UACGUAGGGUGCGAGCGUUAUCCGGAAUUAUUGGGCGUAAAGAGCUCGUAGGCGGUUUGUCACGUCUGCUGUGAAAGCUCGGGGCUUAACUCCGAGGGUGCAGUGGGUACGGGCGGGCUGGAGUGCAGUAGGGGAGACUGGAAUUCCUGGUGUAGCGGUGAAAUGCGCAGAUAUCAGGAGGAACACCGAUUGCGAAGGCAGGUCUCUGGGCUGUUACUGACGCUGAGGAGCGAAAGCAUGGGGAGCGAACAGG
rnacentral:rRNA from 1 species